rnacentral:rRNA from 1 species
GAUUUCUGAUGAACCGGAGUGGCCCGUUUCCUUUCAGGGAAUGAGUGCCGCUUUGAGUUUGUCAUCCUUCCAGAGAGCUGCGUCUACCGUUUACUCGGCCGGACGUAUGCGAUCUGGAUCUAUUACUUUGAAAAAAUUAGAGUGUUUAAAGCAGGCUUACGCUAUGAAUACAUUAGCAUGGAAUAAUAAUUUAGGACUUCUGUCCUAUUUUGUUGGUUUCUAGGACUGAAGUAAUGAUUGAUAGGGAUAGUUGGGGGUGCUAGUAUUCCGAGGCCAGAGGUGAAAUUCUUGGAUUCUCGGAAGACUAACUACUGCGAAAGCAUU